UAUUUUGACUUUGAAACUAAUAGUCUUCAUAUUCUUGAACCAUAAUCUGGAUAUCGACAAAUUUGCAGUACCUCAUCAAAUUUAAUUAAUUUCGAGUUGCAUCUGGUGCAGACUUGCAAGAACAUGGCAGCGCCCAUGUGGAUCAACGCGUUGGAGGUGUAUGUCAAUGGACAUCAAGCUACAGGUGUUGACACCAUUUCAAAAGGUAUUAUUGGGAAAGAAAUACAGCUAGUUGAACUAAUAGAAAAGCUUGGUCCUCACUUAACCAGUGCUGACACAGCUGUAAGAUGUAGAGGAACACGACUAUUGGGAGAGGUUCUGCA